GGGAAUGUGGCUUAGUGGUAGAGUGUUUGCCUAGAAUGCAUAAGCCUUGGGUUCAAUUCCUCACUACCA
rnacentral:tRNA from 1 species